rnacentral:misc_RNA from 1 species
GAUGAAGAACGCAGUGAAAUGCGAUAAGUAAUGUGAAUUGCAGAAUUCAGUGAAUCAUCGAAUCUUUGAACGCACAUUGCGCCCGGUAGUAUUCUGCCGGGCAUGCCUGUUCGAGCGUCAUUUCAACCAUCAAGCCCCAGCGCUUGUGUUGGGGGCCUGCGGCUGCCGCAGCCCCCUAAAAGCAGUGGCGGGCUCGCUAUCACACCGAGUGCAGUAGUUCAUCUUCUCUCCGGUCUUGUGAGGCGGGUUCCGGCCGUGAAACACCCCACUACAUUCAAGGUUGACCUCGGAUCAGGUAGGAAUACCCGCUGAACUUAAGCAUAUCAAUAAGCGGAGG